rnacentral:rRNA from 1 species
ACACAUGCAAGUCGAGGGGCAUCAGUUUGGUUUGCUUGCAAACCAAAGCUGGCGACCGGCGCACGGGUGAGUAACACGUAUCCAACCUACCUCAUACUCGGGGAUAGCCUCUCGAAAGAAAGAUUAAUAUCCGAUAGCAUAUAUUUCCCGCAUGGGUUUUAUAUUAAAGAAAUUCGGUAUGAGAUGGGGAUGCGUUCCAUUAGUUUGUUGGGGGGGUAACGGCCCACCAAGACUACGAUGGAUAGGGGUUCUGAGAGGAAGGUCCCCCACAUUGGAACUGAGACACGGUCCAAACUCCUACGGGAGGCAGCAGUGAGGAAUAUUGGUCAAUGGACGCGAGUCUGAACCAGCCAAGUAGCGUGAAGGAUGACUGCCCUAUGGGUUGUAAACUUCUUUUAUAUGGGAAUAAAGUUGUCCACGUGUGGAUUUUUGUAUGUACCAUAUGAAUAAGGAUCGGCUAACUCCGUGCCAGCAGCCGCGGUAAUACGGAGGAUCCGAGCGUUAUCCGGAUUUAUUGGGUUUAAAGGGAGCGUAGGCGGAUUGUUAAGUCAGUUGUGAAAGUUUGCGGCUCAACCGUAAAAUUGCAGUUGAUACUGGCAGUCUUGAGUGCAGUAGAGGUGGGCGGAAUUCGUGGUGUAGCGGUGAAAUGCUUAGAUAUCACGAAGAACUCCGAUUGCGAAGGCAGCUCACUGGAGUGUAACUGACGCUGAUGCUCGAAAGUGUGGGUAUCAAACAGGAUUAGAUACCCUGGUAGUCCACACAGUAAA